rnacentral:rRNA from 1 species
GCGGUGGAGCAUGUGGUUUAAUUCGAAGCAACGCGAAGAACCUUACCAGGUCUUGACAUCCCCUGACAACCCGAGAGAUCGGGCGUUCCCCUUCGGGGGACAGGGUGACAGGUGGUGCAUGGUUGUCGUCAGCUCGUGUCGUGAGAUGUUGGGUUAAGUCCCGCAACGAGCGCAACCCUCGACCUUAGUUGCCAGCAUUCAGUUGGGCACUCUAAGGUGACUGCCGGCUAAAAGUCGGAGGAAGGUGAGGAUGACGUCAAAUCAUCAUGCCCCUUAUGACCUGGGCUACACACGUGCUACAAUGGGCGGUACAAAGGGUCGCGAACCCGCGAGGGGGAGCCAAUCCCAAAAAGCCGCUCUCAGUUCGGAUUGCAGGCUGCAACUCGCCUGCAUGAAGCCGGAAUCGCUAGUAAUCGCGGAUCAGCAUGCCGCGGUGAAUACGUUCCCGGGCCUU